rnacentral:tRNA from 1 species
GAAGAUGUAGCUGAGUGGUACAGCACUUGCCUAGCAUGCAAGAAGCCUCAGAUUCA